CAGUAGCCACGGUAAUACGAAGGGGGCUAGCGUUGCUCGGAAUUACUGGGCGUAAAGGGAGCGUAGGCGGACAUUUAAGUCAGGGGUGAAAUCCCAGAGCUCAACUCUGGAACUGCCUUUGAUACUGGGUGUCUUGAGUGUGAUAGAGGUAUGUGGAACUCCGAGUGUAGAGGUGAAAUUCGUAGAUAUUCGGAAGAACACCAGUGGCGAAGGCGACAUACUGGAUCAUUACUGACGCUGAGGCUCGAAAGCGUGGGGAGCAAACAGGAUUAGAUACCCGAGUAGUCCCUGUCUCUUAACA
rnacentral:rRNA from 1 species